AGCGAACGCUGGCGGUAGGCCUAACACAUGCAAGUCGAACGGCAGCACAGUAAGAGCUUGCUCUUACGGGUGGCGAGUGGCGGACGGGUGAGGAAUAUAUCGGAAUCUACUCUUUCGUGGGGGAUAACGAAGGGAAACUUACGCUAAUACCGCAUAUGACCUACGGGUGAAAGCAGGGGAUCUUCGGACCUUGCGCGAUUGAAUGAGCGGAUGUCGGAUUAGCUAGUUGGCGGGGUAAAGACCCACCAAGGCGACGAUCCGUAGCUGGUCUGAGAGGACGGUCGGCCACACUGGAGCGGAGACACGGUCCAGACUCCUACGGGAGGCAGCAGUGGGGAAUAUUAGGCAAUGGGGGCAAGCCUGGUCCAGCCAUACCGCGUGGGUGAAGAAGGCCUUCGGGUUGUAAAGCCCUUUUGUUGGGAAAGAAAAGCAGCAGGUUAAUACCCCGCUGGUCUGACGGUACCCAAAGAAUAAGCACCGGCUAACUUCGUG
rnacentral:rRNA from 1 species